CAUCGGUGGUUAAUGAGAUGGGUGGACUCCUUAUAAGGCUUGGACAAUCCUCCUCCCUUUGAGCCAGCUUUUGGAGUGUGAGUUAAGCCUAAGACCUAAUUUAACAAGAACUACAAGAGGAAGAGAGGAGAUAUUUCAAUAUGACAAUUUAUAAAUAAAAAAAAAUGCUUGGCCUAUUAUGUAGGAGGCUUGCUAGGCUCUCAAUCACUUUCAUCAAUUUUUUAGACAAUUUCUUAUGUCAUAUGUUAAUUUUAUUUGUUCAAUUCACUUUUGGAAAAUGAGGCAGAUCUGCAGAACAAAAGACAAUUCACGAGUGGCUUACCGUAACUUCUUCUAGGAAUGCAAAAUGGUGGUGUUCGACAUUUUACAUUAUUACAGCUAUGGUUGGAACCAGUGUCCUCAAUCUUCCUUAUUCUAUGUCUCACCUUGGAUGGGACCUGGCGUGCUGUAACGGUGCUGGUGAAUAUCUUGGAUUAUAACUUUGUACACUUUAUGUCAAAUGAUUGAGAUGCACAAAAUGGCCCCAGUAAAACGCUUCUAUAUAUAUCAUGAGUUGGGCAGUAUGCUUUUGGAAAAAGCUUGGGAUAUGGUGGUGCCCCAACAGUUACUCUGCAAUUGGCUGAGGGGAUUCAACUAAGCGUGGAGCUAGAUGUGGACUAUAGCUACUCCGCUAAAAUCAAUUUGGGAGUCAUUUUUGACUUUUUCACAUUGAGAGAUGUGGAUUUUGCUUACGGUGGUUAUAAUGUGGUGUAGGAGAUUCAAGCUACAAUUCUUUCAAUGACAUAGUAGCCUUCCAAAGGACCCAUGUGGAGGUGGUUACGGUGGUUAGAAUGUUGCUUGAGUACUUGAGCUUCAGUUCAUCCUUCUAAUCAAGUUGCUCUGCACAAGUUCUACUUCUGAAAUUAGAAAAAUUGGUAUAAUAUAUUUACUUAUAAAAUCUAUAAAUACAAAUUAUGUUGUAAAAUUAAAAAUAAUUGAAGUUGAAGACUUUGUUGCUGGAAAAGUGUAAAGGAAAUAUUAUGCUCUAGCAAGGUAUUUGACGCCGGAAAAGGCCAAGAGGAUCUAUUUUUUAAUGCUAAGCAAAUUUGAAAACAGAAAUUAUAUGUACUUGAUAAGACAGGUCAAGGAAAGGUACAAGCAAAAAAAUAGAUGUGGAAGAAAACAAUAUGCUUAUAAGAAGAGUGAAGCGUAAUAUUGAAUUACAUGUACUAAUUCUACAUGUAGGCAAUAGGAA